GAUAAACGCUGGCGGCAUGCCUAAUACAUGCAAGUGGAACGAUUUACUUCGGUAAGUCGUCGCGAACGGGUGAGUAACACGUAGAUAACCUGCCUUAUAGAGGGGGAUAACCAUUGGAAACGAUGGAUAAUACCGCAUAAAUACCUCCUAGGCAUCUAGGAGAGUAGAAAGGAGCAAUUGCUUCGCUAUGAGAUGGAUCUGCGGCGCAUUAGCUAGUUGGUGAGGUAACGGCCCACCAAGGCGAUGAUGCGUAGCCGGCCUGAGAGGGUGAACGGCCACAUUGGGACUGAGACACGGCCCAGACUCCUACGGGAGGCAGCAGUAGGGAAUUUUCGGCAAUGGGGGGAACCCUGACCGAGCAAUGCCGCGUGAAGGAUGAAGGUUUUCGGAUUGUAAACUUCUGUUGUAUAGGAAGAAAGGUAAGUGGAGUGGAAAGCCACUUAAUUGACGGUACUAUACUAGAAAGCCACGGCUAACUACGUG
rnacentral:rRNA from 1 species